rnacentral:rRNA from 1 species
GACGAACGCUGGCGGCGUGCUUAACACAUGCAAGUCGAACGGAAAGGCCCCUUUGGGGGUACUCGAGUGGCGAACGGGUGAGUAACACGUGAGUAACCUGCCCUUGACUUCGGGAUAACUUCAGGAAACUGGGGCUAAUACCGGAUAGGAAUCCUUGCUGCAUGGUGGGGGUUGGAAAGCUUCGGCGGUUUUGGAUGGACUCGCGGCUUAUCAGCUUGUUGGUGGGGUAGUGGCUUACCAAGGCUUUGACGGGUAGCCGGCCUGAGAGGGCGACCGGCCACCUUGGGACUGAGAUACGGCCCAGACUCCUACGGGAGGCAGCAGUGGGGAAUAUUGCACAAUGGGCGGAAGCCUGAUGCAGCAACGCCGCGUGCGGGAUGACGGCCUUCGGGUUGUAAACCGCUUUCAGCAGGGGCGAAGCUUGUGGUGACGGUACCUGCAGAAGUAGCACCGGCUAACUACGUG